CAGAGCGCGCAGCGGUGUGCGCCGCCUGAAGAGACCUCGCCGUGGAGAAGCAGCAGCGCCCAGCCGAUGGAGCGGCCGUAUCUGCAGGCCCACGGAGAGCCUCGUGGCUCAGUUGCCCCUGCAACUCUCUUAAAAGAGCGAUCACUGAGGGUGUUGUUGAGCCUUCGGAGCAUACGGCGCCUUUUUCAAGGCGCCCGGCUCCCGGAUGGUCUCAGCACCCGAAGAAGCUCCGCGGGCGGGCUGGAGCGGGCGCGGGCCGAAGGUCCAGAGGUUUGUGUGAGGCAGCAGCAGCAUCGCGGGAGGUGAAGCUGGAUGUCGGCGUUGGAGGUGACGUGUGCCCGGUGAGCCGUGACUGCUAGGCAGAAGCCGUUGCUGUCGCUGAAGUCUGACUUGGUGGUGCCAGUCUAAGCCUCCAGGACGGGAGUAAAUAGAAGGGGAGCGUACGUACCUUUGCCACGGG